UGGGACUAACAAUUUCUGACUUUGAAAAUGUGUGGCAAACUUUUGAAAUUUUGGAUAAAAACAAUUUCUGACUUGAAAAUGUGAUUUCAAAUUUGAAAAUUAAUUGGCUAGCACAUUUUAAAUCCCCUCCAACAGUUUAUUUUCUUGCUAAGGCCUCUAAAUACAUAUCCUUUACUGUCCAUUUCACCCAAGACAAUCACGUGAGAAAAACAAGCUUAGAACUCAGAGCAUACUUCCUUCAAUUUUCUUUUCUUUCUUUUGAGCCGUUCAAGUUUGAAUUCAUAGAAGAUUCUAGUGAGAGAGAUCAUUGUAAAAGGCUUCAUUUGUAUAUUCCUUCCAAAGGAAAUUGUUAUUGUGCGAGAAAAUCUCAAAUCCUAUCAGUAGUCGAUUGUAUCAGAUGGUUGGUGUGACCCUUAAGGUGUGGUGUGACCCUUGUGAGUGUGAAGGGGAUUUCCACUUGUGAAGAAGAGUGGUGUGCUCUUGACGUGUAAAGGUGUGAACUCCACCCGUAAGAGUUUGGAUUCGUUGAUUGAAAUCUCAAUUGGUGUGUGCUUGGGGAGUGGACGUAGGUCACGGUAGACGAACCACUAUUCGCCGAGGUUGAAUCUCUCUCCCUCUCUCUUUAUAAUUGUGCUCAUUUAAUAAUUCCUUUGCAUUAUACUGCUUCUUAAAUCAUUCUAAAAUUUACUUCAUUAUAAUUUUUUAUUAAAAGAAAAGUUUGUCACAAACCUAUUCAACCCCCCUCUAGGGUUAUUAUCUGGGCAACACAAUCAACACAUUGAAGUGUGGGAUUCAUUUAUCAUUUCGUACUCUCUUUGACUGGCAUCAGAGUUGAUUAGAUUAGUUUCUUUUACGUCAAGGUUUGGCUUUCCAUGGUCCCAUGAUGAAUCUGAAGAAUCUAAUAAAUCAGGAAUGUUUCUGAGCUUUCUCUUCUUUGUUUGCCAAUCACAAUGAUGACAAUUAAGAAAGUUUGUAUUUAAAAAUGCUCAUGAAAACUCAAAUGAUAGUACCCAAAAAUUCUAAAGAUAUUGUAAAUGCAAUGGCGGUGAACUGCAAUGCUAUUCUACUAAAUGUUGGAGAAUGAGUUAUUCCUCUAUCUUAGUUGAUAGUCUUGACCUAUUAGUAAAAGAACAAAUGACGUCAUUUUACGUUAUGUGGACAAGAAAGGUUUCAUCAGUGAACGGUUUUUUGGACAUUGUGCAGUUCGGGAUACUCUUCUUUGUAAACUUAAGGCAUUUAUUGAGUCUCUUUUCCAUUCCCCAAUCCUGGAUUGGUAAUGUCAAGUUUUGUCAAUGGUUAAGGUUAUGAUGGAGCUAGCAAUAUGCAAGGUGAGUUCAAGGUCUAAAAAGUUUGAUUAUUUUAAAGAAUAAAUCUGUUUUUUAUGUCCAUUGUUUUGCUCAUCAACUUUAAUUAACACUUGUAGCCAUUGCUAAAAAACACAAGAAGAUUGGUUCAUUUUUAAACUUGGUUACAAGUUUGUCAAAUACUGUGGAGGCCUCAUGUAAAUGUAAGGACAUUAUUCGAGAGGGACAGUUUGAAAAUGUUAUUAAAGGAAUUUGUAGUGGUGAAAUUAUAACUUAAAUGAAGAAGCAACAUUGAAAAGAGCAGGAGACACUCGUUGUAAUUUCACAUUAUAUUCAAAUUUGGUGUGAUUUUAUUAUUCCUUCGGUGGUUGAUGUCCUUGAGGUUGUUAAAAGGUGGCAACACUUUCAGAGCAAAGAGCUGAAGCAAGUGGAUCUAUUGGAUGCCAUCCAUCUUUUUGAAUUUACAUCCAGUUGCACUUAAUUAGACUGUCUUGUGGAUUCAAUGAGUUGUCACAAGCAUUACAAAAGCAAGAUCAAGAUAUUGUAAACUGCUAUGAGUCUUGUUAAGGUUCCAAAGAACGUCCUAUAGAAAUUGAGAAGAUAAUGGAUGGGAAUCUUGGUGAAUAAGUAUCUUUGUUUUUGAUAAACAUGGAUAGUCCCAAACAUAUGACUAUUUGUAAGUUCGGAAGAUCACAUCGCCAUGCUCAAGAGAAAUUCACACAAUCUUCCACAUUAUCGUGUUAACUAUUUUAUAUGGUAGUAGAUAUGCAACUUCAAGAGUUGAAUACCCCUUUAAUGAGGUGAGUACAGAGUUGUUAUUAUGUAUGCACUUUUGCUUCAAGUUCUACAUUCUCUUCUUUUGAUAAGAGAAAGUUGCUUCGGUUUGCCGAGUUUUAUCCUUCUGACUUUUCUCCACUACAGCUUAUGAUGCUUGAUAAUCAACUUAAGAUCUACUUUCUACAUGUAAGCUCUAAUGAUCAGUUUUUUGAAGUGAUAGGGAUUAGUGGUCUUGCUAAAAUAUUAGUUGAAAUAAAAAAGGAUGUUAUCUAUCCAUUAGUCUAUUUGCUUGUAAAGUUGACAUUAAUCUUAUCGGUUGCAACUGCAUCUGUUGAGAGAGCCUUUUCUACUAUGAGUAUUAUCAAGAUUUCACUCCGUAAUCGCAUGGGAGAUGAGUGGAUGAAUAUGUGCUUGGUGACAUACAUUGAAAGAAACAUAUUUGGCAUUGUAAACAAUGAAGUUAUUUUGCAAAGGUUUCAGAAUAUGAAACAACGAGGGGGAAAUGUUAUAGUUUGUCAUAUUCAUUUUAAGUAUUGUUUUGUCUAAGAAACAUUUGUUAUCUAUAUUGAAUUUUGAAUGUUAUCGUAUUAUUUUUUUUUUGAAAUUUAUUAUCUUACCUAUAGGCAAUUGCUUAAGAGUAUUUUUCUCCUCCAGUGGACAAAAUUCCUGAUUCCGCCACUGCCUAGACAAUGCUAUACUUCCAGAGCAAGAAGAUACAUGCUGAAUCGAUUGAAUUGGAAAGAAGCUUGAAGUCUAUAUAGUAAACUACCUUCAAAGCGCCUGGUCGCCAAGAAUACUCCAUGAGAAGUGUAACUUGUGUGUUUUAUUGUUUUUAAGAUUAUCUUUAUUUUUGUAAUUUGAUUGGCUUCAAAUGUUGCUUUCCGUAGUUGUAUUGUACUUUUAUUUUUCUUCUUUCAAAUGUAUUGCCUCUUCAGUACAUAGACCCACAUGAAUAAAUGGAGUAAUACAGUAAAAGAUUUAUUAUACGAUGAUGAUGGAGCUGAAUUGUUUUCAUUAUAGAAUGUUCAUUCAGGUAGCGGGUUCUCUACAAAAUCGUGUAAGACUAGGAUUUUGCAGUUGAAUUUAGCAACAAUUAAACCCCAUUUGGACUACCUAAAAAAGAUUAAAUUUUUCCACUUUUGAAUUAAAAGUGGAAAGUGAGAGACAAAAAAAAAUUGUGUUGAUGAGUUAAUUUUAUCAUUUUAAGUUGUUUCGUUUUAGUUGGUAUCUUACCAACUAAUGGUGUAUUGCUAUUGAAGUUUUGGAUAGGCAGGCAUAUGAUUGGCUAGAGAGGAGGUGUCAAUAUAUU
rnacentral:lncRNA from 1 species